GAGCUCGAUGAGUAGGGCGGGACACGUGGUAUCCUGUCUGAAUAUGGGGGGCCCAUCCUCCAAGGCUAAAUACUCCUGACUGACCGAUAGUGAACCAGUACCGUGAGGGAAAGGCGAAAAGAACCCCGGCGAGGGGAGUGAAAAAGAACCUGAAACCGUGUACGUACAAGCAGUGGGAGCACGCUUAGGCGUGUGACUGCGUACCUUUUGUAUAAUGGGUCAGCGACUUAUAUUCUGUAGCAAGGUUAACCGAAUAGGGGAGCCGAAGGGAAACCGAGUCUUAACUGGGCGUUAAGUUGCAGGGUAUAGACCCGAAACCCGGUGAUCUAGCCAUGGGCAGGUUGAAGGUUGGGUAACACUAACUGGAGGACCGAACCGACUAAUGUUGAAAAAUUAGCGGAUGACUUGUGGCUGGGGGUGAAAGGCCAAUCAAACCGGGAGAUAGCUGGUUCUCCCCGAAAGCUAUUUAGGUAGCGCCUCGUGAAUUCAUCUCCGGGGGUAGAGCACUGUUUCGGCAAGGGGGUCAUCCCGACUUACCAACCCGAUGCAAACUGCGAAUACCGGAGAAUGUUAUCACGGGAGACACACGGCGGGUGCUAACGUCCGUCGUGAAGAGGGAAACAACCCAGACCGCCAGCUAAGGUCCCAAAGUCAUGGUUAAGUGGGAAACGAUGUGGGAAGGCCCAGACAGCCAGGAUGUUGGCUUAGAAGCAGCCAUCAUUUAAAGAAAGCGUAAUAGCUCACUGGUCGAGUCGGCCUGCGCGGAAGAUGUAACGGGGCUAAACCAU
rnacentral:rRNA from 1 species